rnacentral:rRNA from 1 species
UACAGAGGGUGCAAGCGUUGUUCGGAAUUAUUGGGCGUAAAGCGCGUGUAGGCGGCCAGAUAAGUUGGGUGUGAAAGCCCUCGGCUUAACCGAGGAAGUGCGCCCAAAACUGCUUGGCUUGAGUACCGGAGAGGAUGGUGGAAUUCCCGGUGUAGAGGUGAAAUUCGUAGAUAUCAGGAGGAACACCAAUUGCGAAGGCAGCUCGCUGGGACGUUACUGACGCUGAGACGCGAAAGCGUGGGGAGCAAACAGG